rnacentral:rRNA from 1 species
UACGUAGGGGGCAAGCGUUAUCCGGAAUUACUGGGUGUAAAGGGUGAGUAGGCGGCACUGUAAGUAAGAUGUGAAAGCCUUAGGCUUAACCUGAGGAUUGCAUUAUAAACUACAGAGCUAGAGUACAGGAGAGGAAAGCGGAAUUCCUAGUGUAGCGGUGAAAUGCGUAGAUAUUAGGAAGAACACCAGUGGCGAAGGCGGCUUUCUGGACUGGAAACUGACGCUGAGGCACGAAAGCGUGGGGAGCGAACAGG